GUGCCAGCAGCCGCGGUAAUACGUAGGGCGCAAGCGUUGUCCGGAAUUAUUGGGCGUAAAGAGCCCGUAGGCGGUCUGUCGCGUCUGGUGUGAAAUCCCAUGGCUCAACUGUGGGCUUGCAUCGGGUACGGGCAGACUAGAGUGCUGUAGGGGAGACUGGAAUUCCUGGUGUAGCGGUGGAAUGCGCAGAUAUCAGGAGGAACACCGAUGGCGAAGGCAGGUCUCUGGGCAGUUACUGACGCUGAGGAGCGAAAGCAUGGGGAGCGAACAGGAUUAGAUACCCUGGUAGUCCAUGCCGUAAACGUUGGGCACUAGGUGUGGGGCCAGUUCCACUGGUUCUGUGCCGCAGCUAACGCAUUAAGUGCCCCGCCUGGGGAGUACGGCCGCAAGGCUAAAACUCAAAGGAAUUGACGGGGGCCCGCACAAGCGGCGGAGCAUGCGGAUUAAUUCGAUGCAACGCGAAGAACCUUACCAAGGCUUGACAUGUACGAGAAAGCCCCAGAGAUGGGGUUCUCUUUGGACACUCGUACACAGGUGGUGCAUGGUUGUCGUCAGCUCGUGUCGUGAGAUGUUGGGUUAAGUCCCGCGACGAGCGCAACCCUUAUCCUAUGUUGCCAGCGGGUUAUGCCGGGGACUCAUGGGAGACUGCCGGGGUCAACUCGGAGGAAGGUGGGGAUGACGUCAAAUCAUCAUGCCCCCUUAUGUCUUGGGCUUCACGCAUGCUACAAUGGCCGGUACAGAGGGCUGCGAUACCGUGAGGUGGAGCGAAAUCCCCAAAAAAGC
rnacentral:rRNA from 1 species